GACCAGACUCCUACGGGAGGCAGCAGUGGGGAAUAUUGGGCAAUGGGCGCAAGCCUGACCCAGCAACGCCGCGUGAAGGAAGAAGGCUUUCGGGUUGUAAACUUCUUUUAAGAGGGAAGAGUAGAAGACGGUACCUCUUGAAUAAGCCACGGCUAACUACGUGCCAGCAGCCGCGGUAAUACGUAGGGGGCAAGCGUUAUCCGGAUUUACUGGGUGUAAAGGGGGCGCAGACGGCGAUGCAAGCCAGGAGUGAAAGCCCGGGGCCCAACCCCGGGACUGCUCUUGGAACUGCGUGGCUGGAGUGCAGGAGGGGCAGGCGGAAUUCCUGGUGUAGCGGUGAAAUGCGUAGAUAUCAGGAGGAACACCGGUGGCGAAGGCGGCCUGCUGGACUGCAACUGACGUUGAGGCCCGAAAGCGUGGGGAGCAACCAGGAUUAGAUACCCGCGUAAC
rnacentral:rRNA from 1 species